rnacentral:rRNA from 1 species
GACGAACGCUGGCGGCGUGCUUAACACAUGCAAGUCGAACGGAAAGGCCCUGCUUUUGUGGGGUGCUCGAGUGGCGAACGGGUGAGUAACACGUGAGUAACCUGCCCUUUACUUUGGGAUAACUUCAGGAAACUGGGGCUAAUACCGGAUAGGAGCUCCUGCUGCAUGGUGGGGGUUGGAAAGUUUCGGCGGUUGGGGAUGGACUCGCGGCUUAUCAGCUUGUUGGUGGGGUAGUGGCUUACCAAGGCUUUGACGGGUAGCCGGCCUGAGAGGGUGACCGGCCACAUUGGGACUGAGAUACGGCCCGGACUCCUACGGGAGGCAGCAGUGGGGAAUAUUGCACAAUGGGCGGAAGCCUGAUGCAGCAAGGCCGCGUGCGGGAUGACGGCCUUCGGGUUGUAAACCGCUUUCGCAUGUGACGAAGCGUGAGUGACGGUAAUGGGUAAAGAAGCACCGGCUAACUACGUG